rnacentral:rRNA from 1 species
AGAGUUUGAUCCCGGCUCAGAAUCAACGCUGGCGGCGCGCUUAACACAUGCAAGUCGAACGAGAAAGGGAGCAAUCCUGAGUAAAGUGGCGUACUGGUGGGUAACACGUGGAUAUCUACCUCCUGGUGGGGAAUAACCUGGGGAAACCUGGGCUAAUACCGCAUAAGUUCGAGAGAAGAAAGGCGCAAGUCGCCGGGAGAGGAGUCCGCGGUCGAUUAGGUAGUUGGCGGGGUAAAAGCCCACCAAGCCAAAGAUCGAUAGCCGGCCUGAGAGGGCACACGGCCACACUGGCACUGAAACACGGGCCAGACUCCUACGGGAGGCAGCAGUGGGGAAUCUUGCACAAUGGGGGAAACCCUGAUGCAGCGACGCCGCGUGAGCGAUGAAGCCCUUCGGGGUGUAAAGCUCUUUCGGCAGGAACGAUAAUGACGGUACCUGCAGAAGAAGCUGCGGCUAACUACGUGCCAGCAGCCGCGGUAAUACGUAGGCAGCGAGCGUUGUUCGGAAUUACAGGGCGUAAAGAGUGUGUAGGUGGUGUCGUAAGUUUGGUGUGAAAUCUCCCGGCUCAACUGGGAGGGUGCGUCGAAGACUGCGAUGCUGGAGUAUGGGAGAGGAAAGCGGAAUUCCUGGUGUAGCGGUGAAAUGCGUAGAUAUCAGGAGGAACACCUGCGGUGUAGACGGCUUUCUGGACCAUUACUGACACUGAGACACGAAAGCGUGGGGAGCAAACAGGAUUAGAUACCCUGGUAGUCCACGCCCUAAACUAUGUCAACUGGUUGUCGGGGGAUUGAUUCCCUUGGUAACGAAGCUAACGCGUGAAGUUGACCGCCUGGGGAGUACGGUCGCAAGAUUAAAACUCAAAGGAAUUGACGGGGACCCGCACAAGCGGUGGAUUAUGUGGAUUAAUUCGAUGCAACGCGAAAAACCUUACCUACCCUUGACUUGUAGCGAACCUCGCAGAGAUGUGAGGGUGCCCGAAAGGGAACGCUAACGCAGGUGCUGCAUGGCUGUCGUCAGCUCGUGUCGUGAGAUGUUGGGUUAAGUCCCGCAACGAGCGCAACCCUUGUCAUUAGUUGCUACAUUAAGUUGGGCACUCUAAUGAGACUGCCGGUGACAAACCGGAGGAAGGUGGGGAUGACGUCAAGUCCUCAUGGCCCUUAUGGGUAGGGCCUCACACGUAAUACAAUGGUCGGUACAAAGGGUAGCGAACUCGCGAGAGGGAGCCAAUCUCAAAAAGCCGACCUCAGUACAGAUAGGAGUCUGCAACUCGACUCCUUGAAGUCGGAAUCGCUAGUAAUCGCUGAUCAGCAUGGCAGCGGUGAAUACGUUCCC